rnacentral:rRNA from 1 species
UUACCAGGUGCUGUAAGCAU